rnacentral:rRNA from 1 species
CCUACGGGUGGCUGCAGUGGGGAAUAUUGCACAAUGGAGGAAACUCUGAUGCAGCGACGCCGCGUGAGUGAAGAAGGCUUUCGAGUCGUAAAACUCUGUCCUUGGGGACGAUAAUGACGGUACCCAAGGAGGAAGCCCCGGCUAACUACGUGCCAGCAGCCGCGGUAAUACGUAGGGGGCGAGCGUUGUCCGGAAUUAUUGGGCGUAAAGGGUUCGCAGGCGGCCAAAUAAGUCAGAUGUGAAAUCCCACGGCUUAACCGUGGUAAGCAUUUGAAACUGUAUGGCUUGAGUUAAGGAGAGGAAAGUGGAAUUCCUAGUGUAGCGGUGAAAUGCGUAGAUAUUAGGAAGAAUACCAGUGGCGAAGGCGACUUUCUGGACUUAUACUGACGCUGAGGAACGAAAGCGUGGGGAGCAAACAGGCUUAGAUACCCCAGUAGUC